rnacentral:rRNA from 1 species
UCUGGCUCUCGGGCCCGAGUUGUAAUUUGUAGAGGAUGCUUUUGGUGCGGUGCCUUCUGAGUUCCCUGGAACGGGACGCCAUAGAGGGUGAGAGCCCCGUAGAGUUGGACGCCAAACCUUUGUAAAGCUCCUUCGACGAGUCGAGUAGUUUGGGAAUGCUGCUCAAAAUGGGAGGUAAAUUUCUUCUAAAGCUAAAUACCGGCUGGAGACCGAUAGCGCACAAGUAGAGUGAUCGAAAGAUGAAAAGCACUUUGAAAAGAGGGUUAAACAGCACGUGAAAUUGUUGAAAGGGAAGCGCUUGUGACCAGACUUGUGCCUUGCCAAUCAUCCGGCGUUCUCGCCGGUGCACUUGGCUUGGCCCAGGCCAGCAUCAGUUUCCUCAGGGGGAGAAAAGCGCCGGGAACGUAGCUCCCUCGGGAGUGUUAUAGCCCGGCACACAAUACCUCUGGGGGGACUGAGGACCGCGCAUUGCAAGGAUGCUGGCGUAAUGGUCAUCAGCGACCCGUCUU